AGGAUUCCUCCUGAGUCAGGCAGAGGAGAGGAAGCAGGAAAAGGAUCUGGUUGCAGAAAUGGGCUGCAAUUCCUCUGAGGCAGAGAGGACUCUGUUGGACACCAGAGAGAGUUCACUAGGUGAAAGAAGAAUGUCAACCAGACCUCCUCACCCGUCUUUUCAUGGUGGUGGAGAGGAAGCAGCAGCUGUUGAAGCAGAUCAGGGUCCAGUGUGCUUUGAAGAUGUAGCUGUGCAUUUCAC